UACAGAGGGGGCAAGCGUUGUUCGGAAUUACUGGGCGUAAAGGGCGCGUAGGUGGUUGCGUAAGUAACGUGUGAAAUCCCUCGGCUUACCCGGGGAAUUGCAUGUUAUACUGCGUGACUUGAGGAUCAGAGGGGAAUGGGGAACUCCAGGUGUAGCGGUGAAAUGCGCAGAUAUCUGGGGGAAGGCCGGCGGCGAAGGCGCCAUUCUGGCUGAUUCCUGACACUGAGGCGCGAAAGCGUGGGGAGCAAACAGG
rnacentral:rRNA from 1 species